AUUGAACGCUAGCGGCAGGCCUAACACAUGCAAGUCGAGCGAGCGGCGGACGGGUGAGUAAUGUAUGGGGACUGCCCGAUAGAGGGGGACAACUACUGGAAACGGUAGCUAAUUCCGCAUACUAUCGGAUAACCCAUAUGGGAUUAGCUAGUUGGUGAGGUAAUGGCUCACCUAGGCGACGCUCCCUAGCUGGUCUGAGAGGAUGAUCAGGCACACUGGGAAUGAGACACGGCCCAGAGUCGUACGGAGGCAGCAGGGGGGAAUAUUGCACAAUGGGCGCAAGCCGGAUGCAGCCAUGCCGCGUGAGUGAAGAAGGCCCUAGGGUUGUAAAGAACUUUCAGUCGGGAGGCGUUACCGACAGAGGAAGCACCGGCUAACUCCGUGCCAGCGGCCGCGGUAAUAC
rnacentral:rRNA from 1 species